UUGGACCAAUUUUUCUCUUUAAAAAUAAUCAGAACUUUUGUAUGAAGAGAUAUAAAAUCUUGAGAGAAUGUAGGCAAGGAGAGUAUGAUUUUCUUUUCACAAAAUUGGUAAAAAUCGAAUGAAUGAAAUACUCCCUAUUUAUAGAAAUUUUUGAAGUUGGGGCAAAAUAGUAAUUUUAGAAAAAUAAUUUUGAACGUGUGGUUUAGAUCAAGCAUUUUUGAAUUGAAGGGUCCGGAUUUAAUCAAGCAAAUACGCGGUAGGAAGCUAAAAAACCGCCCAGGCAAUUUUCUAGCUUCAUGAGCAUUUAUUAUGUUUGACCAAGCAAUUUGCCAGCCAAUACACGGUUUGUCCCAAAAAGAUAGUCACUCAAGCAUACUCACAUACACUCGGUCACAGCACACAUGCACGGUACACAUGCACAUUAAUUAGAC
rnacentral:lncRNA from 1 species